rnacentral:rRNA from 1 species
UACGUAGGGUGCGAGCGUUGUCCGGAAUUGCUGGGCGUAAAGAGCUCGUAGGUGGUUUGUCGCGUUGUUCGUGAAAACUCACAGCUCAGCUGUGGGCGUGCGGGCGAUACGGGCAGACUGGAGUACUGCAGGGGAGACUGGAAUUCCUGGUGUAGCGGUGGAAUGCGCAGAUAUCAGGAGGAACACCGGUGGCGAAGGCGGGUCUCUGGGCAGUAACUGACGCUGAGGAGCGAAAGCGUGGGGAGCGAACAGG